rnacentral:ncRNA from 1 species
UUUGCAGAAGGACGGCGCAGAUGAGGGUCUGGAUGAACGCCGUAUAGAACGACCCGUGAAUGAAAUAUGUAGCAACCGCAAAGGUAAGCAAUGCACCGAUCAUGCUGAAAAAA